AUCCAGCUGACGAGUACCAAAUAGGACGAAACGCGUGUACUGGAU
rnacentral:hammerhead_ribozyme from 1 species